GCAUAUCAUUAAGCGGUGGAGAAGAAACUAACAAGGAUGCGCUUAGUAACGGCGAGCGAACCGCGCAAAGCCCAACUUGAAAAUCUCCCUUGGAGAAUUGUAGUCUAUAGAAGUACCCUCUGCAACGGGCUGAGCUCAAG
rnacentral:rRNA from 1 species